rnacentral:rRNA from 1 species
GACGAAGGGGGCUAGCGUUGCUCGGAAUCACUGGGCGUAAAGCGCACGUAGGCGGCUUCUUAAGUCAGGGGUGAAAUCCUGGAGCUCAACUCCAGAACUGCCUUUGAUACUGGGAGGCUCGAGUCCGGGAGAGGUGAGUGGAACUGCGAGUGUAGAGGUGAAAUUCGUAGAUAUUCGCAAGAACACCAGUGGCGAAGGCGGCUCACUGGCCCGGUACUGACGCUGAGGUGCGAAAGCGUGGGGAGCAAACAGG